AUUGAACGCUGGCGGCAGGCUUAACACAUGCAAGUCGAGCGAGCGGCGGAAGGGUGAGUAAUGUCUGGGAAACUGCCUGAUGGAGGGGGAUAACUACUGGAAAAGGUAGCUAAUACCGCAUACCAUCAGAUGUGCCCAGAUGGGAUUAGCUAGUAGGUGGGGUAAUGGCUCAACUAGGCGACGAGCCCUAGCUGGUCUGAGAGGAUGACCAGCCAAACUGGAACUGAGACACGGUCCAGACGCCUACGGGAGGCAGCAUGGGGGAAUAUUGCACAAUGGGCGCAAGCCUGAUGCACCCAUGCCGCGUGUGUUAAGAAGGCCUUCGGGUUGUAAAGCACUUUCAGCGAGGAGGCGUUACUCGCAGAAGAAGCACCGGCUAACUCCGUGCCAGCCGCCGCGGUAAUAC
rnacentral:rRNA from 1 species